UUCCUUCUCCACGACUCUAGCCUCCUCUGUUCGUGGGUUUAGGCCUUUAGGGUGCAGCAGGUGCCUCCAAUUCCUUCUCCACGACUCUAGUCCCUCUGUUCGUGGGUUUAGGGUGCAGCAGGUGCCUCCAAUUCCUUCUCCACAACUCUAGUCCCUCUGUUCGUGGGUUUAGGGUGCAGCAGCUUGGCCUUCAUCUCUGUUCGGGUUUUCUCCUCUCCCAACACAAAGUUGCAGACCCAUAAUUCCUCGCAAACCAAUCUCUCUUACUCUCACUUUAAAGCUUCUUCUUUUCUGCUUCAGGAACCCCCACCGAAAACGUGCCCCAAUGGUGUUACUCGUGGAAGCCCUGAAUCCAGUUAUUGUGUAAAGGAACCCCGCCUCCCGAAAGGUGUUACUCGUGGAUGUCCAGAAUCCGGUUAUUGUGUAAAGGUAACAGAAGGUGGCAUCCUGAGGGUGCAGUAAUAGACACUCUUGAAAAGGCUCCUGUUUUCUAUCCAACACAUGAGGUGAGGUGAGCUUGACUAGAGAUUGGGAGUUAGAGUUGGAUCGAUAUGUGGCUAGGAGCAUGAAGGUUAAUUAUGUGGUAGGAUCCUACCUUGAUCCCCUUACAGUUAAGGUAUACUGAUCAGACACAUGUUCAAGGAUAGUCCAUAUGCCUCUGGUUCUCCAUCAAAAGCCAUCUGCAUUAUUGAUCAUAAUUUGUUACUGAUAUUAUUUAUAGUUGAAGACUUGUGAAGCAUAUUAUGAAAGUGCUCAAUUUGUUAAUGUUUGUUGGAUUUGAAAAAAGAGUUGAUGUUAGGCUCUGUUUAUUAUUAUUAUCCAUAAUAAAUUCAAAUUUUUGGUAAAAACAAAUUCUAUUUAUAUAAUCGGCGAC
rnacentral:lncRNA from 1 species